UACAGAGGUCUCAAGCGUUGUUCGGAAUUACUGGGCGUAAAGGGCGCGUAGGCGGCCUUCUAAGUCGGACGUGAAAUCCCUCGGCUCAACCGAGGAACUGCGUCCGAUACUGAAAGGCUUGAAUCCGGGAGAGGGAUGUGGAAUUCCAGGUGUAGCGGUGAAAUGCGUAGAUAUCUGGAGGAACACCGGUGGCGAAGGCGGCAUCCUGGACCGGCAUUGACGCUGAGGCGCGAAAGCUAGGGGAGCAAACGGG
rnacentral:rRNA from 1 species